GAAAAUGACAUAUUUGCUUGAGGGACAGGGUGGUCUGUGAGGGCUAAGAAAUGGGUGUUUCCUUAUGGUGGCUGGGAGUGAGAUAUGGAAUUUAUCAUUCUGUUUAGUACUUGCUUGCUCCUUCCUCUCUUCUUGCUAGUCCCGAUAAGCCCCAGAGAAAAAUCUUAAGACCAAAGCAUGCCUCUGCUUAUUUGAUUGUCCAAGAGACUGGGGAAUGGUCUAAACAAAAGCUGAGUCCAUCCACAGAGCUGAAAUAUUUCCUCACCUCUCCCUUCAUGCUGCAGGAUCCCCGGAGGUUUGUCAUAAAACAUCCUCAUUGGUGA
rnacentral:lncRNA from 1 species